GAUGAACGCUGGCGGCGUGCCUAAUACAUGCAAGUCGAGCGAACGGACGAGAAGCUUGCUUCUCUGAUGUUAGCGGCGGACGGGUGAGUAACACGUGGAUAACCUACCUAUAAGACUGGGAUAACUACGGGAAACCGGAGCUAAUACCGGAUAAUAUUUUGAACCGCAUGGUUCAAAAGUAAAAGACGGUCUUGCUGUCACUUAUAGAGGGUUCCGCGCUGCGUUAGCUAGUUGGUAAGGUAACGGCUUACCAAGGCAACGAUGCAUAGCCGACCUGAGAGAGGGGUAGGCCACACUGGAACGGGAACACGGUCCAGACUCCUACGGGAGGCAGCAGUAGGGAAUCGGCCGCAAUGGUGGAGAGCCUGGCGGAGCAACGGGGCGUGGGUGAUAGAGGCCUUGGGAUCGGGAAGCUCUGUUAUUAGGGGUGAACAUAUGUGUAAGUAGCUGAGCACAUAUUGACGGUACCUGGUCAGAAAGCCACGGCUAACUACGUG
rnacentral:rRNA from 1 species